AUACCACUCCUGCCCGCAUGGGCGGGGGUUGAAAGCUCCGGCGGUGAAGGAUGAGCCCGCGGCCUAUCAGCUUGUUGGUGGGGUAAUGGCCCACCAAGGCGACGACGGGUAGCCGGCCUGAGAGGGCGACCGGCCACACUGGGACUGAGACACGGCCCAGACUCCUACGGGAGGCAGCAGUGGGGAAUAUUGCACAAUGGGCGAAAGCCUGAUGCAGCGACGCCGCGUGAGGGAUGACGGCCUUCGGGUUGUAAACCUCUUUCAGCAGGGAAGAAGCGAAAGUGACGGUACCUGCAGAAGAAGCGCCGGCUAACUACGUGCCAGCAGCCGCGGUAAUACGUAGGGCGCAAGCGUUGUCCGGAAUUAUUGGGCGUAAAGAGCUCGUAGGCGGCUUGUCACGUCGGAUGUGAAAGCCCGAGGCUUAACCUCGGGUCUGCAUUCGAUACGGGCUAGCUAGAGUGUGGUAGGGGAGAUCGGAAUUCCUGGUGUAGCGGUGAAAUGCGCAGAUAUCAGGAGGAACACCGGUGGCGAAGGCGGAUCUCUGGGCCAUUACUGACGCUGAGGAGCGAAAGCGUGGGGAGCGAACAGGAUUAGAUACCCUGGUAGUCCACGCCGUAAACGUUGGGAACUAGGUGUUGGCGACAUUCC
rnacentral:rRNA from 1 species